rnacentral:rRNA from 1 species
CAUUACUGAAGAUACUAGGGUUUUGAGACUGCGUCUAAAUUGGACGCGUGCUCGACUCUUACUCUUUAUCCACACACACCUCUGUGCACUAUGGGAUGCAAAAUCCCCUUUUCACAUUAAAACCGAGUUAUAUGCAUGUCUACUUUAUGCUCUACGGAGUAAUAUACAACUUUCAACAACGGAUCUCUUGGCUUUCGCAUCGAUGAAGAACGCAGCGAACGUGCGAAACGUAAUGUGAAUUGCAGAAUUCAGUGAAUCAUCGAAUCUUUGAACGCAUCUUGCGCUCCUUGGCAUUCCGAGGAGCAUGCCUGUUUGAGUGUUGUGAAAUACUCAAUUUCAAUCAUUUUGUUUGAAAUUGGAUAUGGACGUUGUUGUGGCACAACUCGUCCUAAAUGCAUUAGCGAUCUGGCCUCGAUCACGUACAGUGUGAUAAGAAAAAAAAAGCAUUGUCGGCUCGAGUCAAAAAGUCGCUUCUAACUGUCGACAAGACAAAUCAUUUAUGUCAUUUGACCUCAAAUCAGGUAGGACUACCC